UGGGGAAUUUUGGACAAUGGGCGAAAGCCUGAUCCAGCAAUGCCGCGUGUGUGAAGAAGGCCUUCGGGUUGUAAAGCACUUUUGUCCGGAAAGAAAUCCUUGGCUCUAAUACAGUCGGGGGAUGACGGUACCGGAAGAAUAAGCACCGGCUAACUACGUGCCAGCAGCCGCGGUAAUACGUAGGGUGCAAACGUUAAUCGGAAUUACUGGGCGUAAAGCGUGCGCAGGCGGUUUGCUAAGACCGAUGUGAAAUCCCCGGGCUCAACCUGGGAACUGCAUUGGUGACUGGCAGGCUAGAGUAUGGCAGAGGGGGGUAGAAUUCCACGUGUAGCAGUGAAAUGCGUAGAGAUGUGGAGGAAUACCGAUGGCGAAGGCAGCCCCCUGGGCCAAUACUGACGCUCAUGCACGAAAGCGUGGGGAGCAAACAGGAUUAGAUACCCUGGUAGUCCACGCCCUAAAACGAUGUCAACUAGUUGUUGGGGAUUCAUUUCCUUAGUAACGUAGCUAACGCGUGAAGUUGACCGCCUGGGGAGUACGGUCGCAAGAUUAAAACUUAAAUGAAUUGACGGGGU
rnacentral:rRNA from 1 species